UCGCCUGUUUUUACAAAAACAUCGCCUCUUGUAAUAUAAAUAUAAGAGGUCCCGCCUGCCCUGUGACUGUUUAAGUUUAACGGCCGCGGUAUUUUGACCGUGCAAAGGUAGCGCAACCACUUGUCUUUUAAAUAGAGACCUGUAUGAAUGGCAUCACGAGGGCUAAACUGUCUCCUUUUCCCAGUCAAUGAAAUUGAUCUCCCCGUGAAGAAGCGGGGAUAAGCUUAUAAGACGAGAAGACCCUGUGGAGCUUUAAACAAGUAGCGGGCCAUGUCAAACACAUUAAAUAAGUGAAACAAAAUGGAUACCUCUUACAGUUUUUGGUUGGGGCGACCGCGGGGUAACAGAAAACCCCCACGUGGAAUGGGGACACCUCCCCUACAACUACGAACAACCUCUCUAAUUAACGGAAUAUCCGACCAACAAUGAUCCGGUAAGCCGAUCAACGAACCGAGUUACCCCAGGGAUAACAGCGCAAUCCCCUUCUAGAGACCCUAUCGCCAAGGGGGUUUACGACCUCGAUGUUGGAUCAGGACAUCCUAAUGGUGCAGCCGCUAUUAAGGGUUCGUUUGUUCAACGAUUAAAGUC
rnacentral:rRNA from 1 species